rnacentral:rRNA from 1 species
CAUGCCGCGUGUGUGAAGAAGGCCUUUUGGUUGUAAAGCACUUUAAGCAGUGAAGAAGACUCUUCGGUUAAUACCCGGAGACGAUGACAUUAGCUGCAGAAUAAGCACCGGCUAACUCUGUGCCAGCAGCCGCGGUAAUACAGAGGGUGCAAGCGUUAAUCGGAAUUACUGGGCGUAAAGCGAGCGUAGGUGGCUUGAUAAGUCAGAUGUGAAAUCCCCGGGCUUAACCUGGGAACUGCAUCUGAAACUGUUAGGCUAGAGUAGGUGAGAGGGAAGUAGAAUUUCAGGUGUAGCGGUGAAAUGCGUAGAGAUCUGAAGGAAUACCGAUGGCGAAGGCAGCUUCCUGGCAUCAUACUGACACUGAGGCUCGAAAGCGUGGGUAGCAAACAGGAUUAGAUACCCUGGUAGUCCACGCCGUAAACGAUGUCUACUAGUCGUUGGGUCCCUUGAGGACUUAGUGACGCAGCUAACGCAAUAAGUAGACCGCCUGGGGAGUACGGCCGCAAGGUUAAAACUCAAAUGAAUUGACGGGGGCCCGCACAAGCGGUGGAGCAUGUGGUUUAAUUCGAUGCAACGCGAAGAACCUUACUGGUCUUGA